GGUCGCCCUGGCGGGCGCCGUCCAGCUGCUGGUGGCCGCUUCGGUGCACUUCGGCAACGGUUGGGGUUUCGGCAACCCCGGCGGCGGC
rnacentral:tRNA from 5 species